AGAAAACUUUAAGACUUUAAAUAUUACUAAUCUAUGGAAGUUUUAGAAAAACUAAACGUAAAGAAAAUAUUUCUUUUUGUUAAAAAGUGACCAGAGUAUUCUUUAAAUAAAUGGGUGGAAGUACUUAUAAAAUUAUUACCGAGAGGGGAACAAAUUUUGUUAGAUUUUUAUUAUAUUAAAAAGAAGUUGUUAAAGAUGUACCUUUUGUAUUAUGGUUAGUUAAAAUAAAAGGAGAAUAAUUGACUCUUUAAACGAAAUGAGGUGAGCUACUAUUUUCUUUAGCUAGGCUAUAAAACUUUCUGUAUUAAAAGAAAGAAGAGAGGAAAGAGUAGAUGUUAAAAGCUUAUCGAACCUUAUGAUAGCUUUUUUUUAGGGAAAUGAAUUUAAGUUUAAUUAAAAUUAUGUUUUAAUUAGAAGAGAGUGGUUGAUCACUUUUUUCUUGAAGAAAGAACUUUAUUAAUUAAGAUAAGCCAAUUAUAAAAAUUUAUAAAGUUAAUAAAUAGGUUUUAAGCAAUUAUUUUUUUGAAGGCGUUUGAGCCCAUUAACUAGCAAUGUAUAAUUCUUGUUUAAUAUUAGCUUUUCUUAUACAAAAAUACCUAAAUAUUGUUUAAUAACAAAAAAUAAUGACUAAAUGAGUAAAGUUAGGGCCUUUUUGUAAUAUAAGCAUUAGGAGAGGGUAGAAGAAAAUAUCUUUAGUUUGUAUCCUUAUGAAAGGGGCCUUUAAAAAUUUAAUAUAAAGAAAGGAACUCGGCAAAUUGUUUCUGCGCCUGUUUACCAAAAACACCGCCCUUGGAGAUAGAUCAAAGGGUUCUGCCUGCCCGGUGACGUGAAGUUAAACGGCUGCAGUAUUACUGACUGUGCAAAGGUAGCAUAAUCAUUAGCCUAUUAAUUGUAGGCUUGUAUCAACGGCUAGACGAUGGAAAGACUGUCUCUCUUUAUAGAACUUUAAAUUAAUUUUAAGGUGAAGAAACCUUAAUUUAUUAGUGGGACGAGAAGACCCUAUAGAGCUUUAUUUUUAAAUAGGAGGUUGUUCCUAUUAUUAAAAUUUGGUUGGGGCAACCGCUUUUAUUAUAAGACAGGAGCAUAUAUUUUAUCUAAUUUAAGUUAUAAAUUAAAAGAUCCAGAAAAUUCUGAUAAAUAGAAAAAGUUACCUUAGGGAUAACAGCGUAAUUUUUUUUGAGAGUACUUAUUGACAAAAAAGUUUGCGACCUCGAUGUUGGAUCAGGAAUACCUGGGUGUGCAGCAGCCCCCUACGGUUGGUUUGUUCAACCAUUAAACUCCUACGUGAUCUGAGUUCAGUCCGUCGUGAGACAGGACAGUUUCUAUCUACUACAAUUAUUCCCCCUUGUACGAAAGGACUUUGGGAAAAAGAAAAAAUAUUAAAAGUAUAAUCUUAAAAUAAUUACUUGAAUAAAAUAAAAAAGAAUAAAUAUGUAAAUUAA
rnacentral:rRNA from 1 species